GGUACACGCUGUGACUAGCAUAUCAAUAAGCGGAGGAAAAGAAACUAACAAGGAUUCCCCUAGUAACGGCGAGUGAAGCGGGAAGAGCUCAAAUUUGAAAUCUUAAAGGGUUUCCCUUUACGAAUUGUAGUUUAAAGAAGUGUUUUCUGUUGAGGUUUUGGUAAAAGUUCUUUGGAAUAGGACAUCAUAGAGGGUGAGAAUCCCGUAUUUGACCUUUACUUUCAACUUUGUGAUACACUUUCAAAGAGUCGGAUUGUUUGGGAAUGCAGUCCAAAAUGGGUGGUAAAUUUCAUCUAAAGCUAAAUAUUGGCGAGAGACCGAUAGCGAACAAGUACCGUGAGGGAAAGAUGAAAAGAACUUUGAAAAGAGAGUUAAACAGUACGUGAAAUUGUCAAAAGGGAAGCGUUUGACACCAGUGUUGUUUUUCUGAAAAUCAAUUAAAGAACUGUUUAUGCUAAGUUGUUUAGACUUUAUCAGCUAACUGUUUAGUUUUGAGCUUUUCUUUAAUGCACUUUUCAGUUAACAAGUCAACAUCAAUUUCUUUUGCUGUAAAAAAGCUUGAGGAAGGUGGCUUGAGAUUCGUCUUAAGUGUUUAUAGCCUCUUGCCUAUGCAGUCGGAGAGAUUGAGGUCUGCAGGCGUAGAUCCUUCGGGGCUAAAUGCAUUUGUGCUAAGUUAUAGCAUUUCAUAGACAACUUGUUGACUAUGAUUUGUCUUGUAGCUUACUCGCUUAUGUUAUUUUACCUACGCUUAGGAUGUUGACAGCAGUAUAGACUGU
rnacentral:rRNA from 1 species